rnacentral:rRNA from 1 species
CGGGUGAGUAACGCGUGAGGAACCUGCCUCAAAGAGGGGGACAACAGUUGGAAACGACUGCUAAUACCGCAUAAGCCCACAGCUCGGCAUCGAGCAGAGGGAAAGGGAGCAAUCCGCUUUGAGAUGGCCUCGCGUCCGAUUAGCUAGUUGGUGAGGUAACGGCCCACCAAGGCGACGAUCGGUAGCCGGACUGAGAGGUUGAACGGCCACAUUGGGACUGAGACACGGCCCAG